rnacentral:snRNA from 1 species
GUACAGUGCUGGCUGCUGUAGGACAUUUCUGUGACUCUAUAAAGAUCCAUAGAUUGAUUCGGCUGAUCUGGCUGGCAAGGAGGGUGUCCUCGACCUCCCUCACUGCUCCAUGUGCGUUUCUCCUGAAGCCGUGUGCUCGGUCCCAGAGGACGACUUUCCCCGACUAGAGGAGGACGGGUCUUCGGUCAAGGGUUACGAGAGGCUGUGCUCCCCUGCUCGGAACUCCAAACAAGCUCUCAAGAACAAAGGACUGUAAGAGAAAUGAGUGAGGUGGAGGCUGGAGUUGUGGCUCCAUUGGUAGAGUGCUUGUUUAGU